rnacentral:rRNA from 1 species
UACGUAGGGUGCAAGCGUUGUCCGGAAUUAUUGGGCGUAAAGAGCUCGUAGGCGGUUUGUCGCGUCGAAUGUGAAAUCCCGGGGCUCAACCCCGGGUCUGCAUUCGAUACGGGCAGACUAGAGUUCGGUAGGGGGAGUCUGGAAUUCCUGGUGUAGCGGUGGAAAUGACGCAGAUAUCAGGAGGAACACCGGUGGCGAAGGCGGGGACUCUGGGCCGAUACUGACGCUGAGGAGCGAAAGCGUGGGGAGCAAACAGG